CAGGCCUAACACAUGCAAGUCGAACGCUAUCGCAAGAUAGAGUGGCGCACGGGUGAGUAACACGUGGGAAUCUGCCCUUCUCUGCGGGACAACAGUUGGAAACGACUGCUAAUACCGCACACGCCCUUCGGGGGAAAGGUCCGCCGGAGAAGGAGGAGCCCGCGUCUGAUUAGCUUGUUGGUGGGGUAAAGGCCUACCAAGGCGACGAUCAGUAGCUGGUCUGAGAGGAUGAUCAGCCACACUGGGACUGAGACACGGCCCAGACUCCUACGGGAGGCAGCAGUGGGGAAUAUUGGACAAUGGAGGCAACUCUGAUCCAGCAAUGCCGCGUGUGUGAUGAAGGCCCUAGGGUUGUAAAGCACUUUCAUUGGUGAAGAUGAUGACGGUAACCAAAGAAGAAGCCCCGGCUAACUUCGUGCCAGCAGCCGCGGUAAUACGAAGGGGGCGAGCGUUGUUCGGAAUUACAGGGCGUAAAGGGAGCGCAGGCGGUUCAUUUAGUUAGGCGUGAAAGCCCCGGGCUCAACCUGGGAACUGCGCUCAAUACUGAUGAGCUAGAAAACAGAAGAGGAUAGCGGAAUUCCCAGUGUAGAGGUGAAAUUCGUAGAUAUUGGGAAGAACACCGGUGGCGAAAGCGGCUAUCUGGUCUGAU
rnacentral:rRNA from 1 species